rnacentral:rRNA from 1 species
UGGGGAAUAUUGGACAAUGGGCGCAAGCCUGAUCCAGCCAUGCCGCGUGAGUGAUGAAGGCCUUAGGGUUGUAAAGCUCUUUCGCCGGUGAAGAUAAUGACGGUAACCGGAGAAGAAGCCCCGGCUAACUUCGUGCCAGCAGCCGCGGUAAUACGAAGGGGGCUAGCGUUGCUCGGAAUCACUGGGCGUAAAGCGCACGUAGGCGGAUCGUUAAGUCAGGGGUGAAAUCCUGGAGCUCAACUCCAGAACUGCCCUUGAUACUGGCGAUCUCGAGUUCGAGAGAGGUUGGUGGAACUCCGAGUGUAGAGGUGAAAUUCGUAGAUAUUCGGAAGAACACCAGUGGCGAAGGCGGCCAACUGGCUCGAUACUGACGCUGAGGUGCGAAAGCGUGGGGAGCAAAACAGGAUUAGAUACCCUGGUAGUCCACGCCGUAAACGAUGGAUGCUAGCCGUUGGGGGGUUUACCUCUCAGUGGCGCAGCUAACGCCUUAAGCAUCCCGCCUGGGGAGUACGGUCGCAAGAUUAAAAACUC